AACAAACUUGCUUUACUAAUAGGGUAGGAACCAAAUCAUAUUGAAGGUGUUUUAAGGUUUACUGCCCAACUCCUAUUCCAAAACGCCCACGUCGUAUAUCCAAGAUUGAGAACAUCCUCUUGGGGAAAUAGUGUUGCAUGGCGAAACAGGGGCUA
rnacentral:ribozyme from 1 species